rnacentral:rRNA from 1 species
AUGCACGCUGGCGGCGUGCCUAAUACAUGCAAGUCGAGCGAACAGACGAGGAGCUUGCUCCUCUGACGUUAGCGGCGGACGGGUGAGUAACACGUGGAUAACCUACCUAUAAGACUGGGAUAACUUCGGGAAACCGGAGCUAAUACCGGAUAAUAUAUUGAACCGCAUGGUUCAAUAGUGAAAGACGGUUUUGCUGUCACUUAUAGAUGGAUCCGCGCCGCAUUAGCUAGUUGGUAAGGUAACGGCUUACCAAGGCAACGAUGCGUAGCCGACCUGAGAGGGUGAUCGGCCACACUGGAACUGAGACACGGUCCAGACUCCUACGGGAGGCAGCAGUAGGGAAUCUUCCGCAAUGGGCGAAAGCCUGACGGAGCAACGCCGCGUGAGUGAUGAAGGUCUUCGGUUCGUAAAACUCUGUUAUUAGGGAAGAACAAAUGUGUAAGUAACUAUGCACGUCUUGACGGUACCUAAUCAGAAAGCCACGGCUAACUACGUG